rnacentral:rRNA from 1 species
AUUGAACGCUGGCGGCAUGCUUUACACAUGCAAGUCGAACGGUAACAGGCCUUCGGGUGCUGACGAGUGGCGAACGGGUGAGUAAUGCAUCGGAACGUACCCAGAGGUGGGGGAUAACGCAGCGAAAGCUGUGCUAAUACCGCAUGUGAUCUGAGGAUGAAAGCGGGGGACCGAGCAGCAAUGUUUGGCCUCGCGCCUUUGGAGCGGCCGAUGUCGGAUUAGCUAGUUGGUGGGGUAAAGGCCUACCAAGGCGACAAUCCGUAGCUGGUCUGAGAGGACGACCAGCCACACUGGGACUGAGACACGGCCCAGACUCCUACGGGAGGCAGCAGUGGGGAAUUUUGGACAAUGGGCGCAAGCCUGAUCCAGCAAUGCCGCGUGCGGGAAGAAGGCCUUCGGGUUGUAAACCGCUUUUGGCAGGAACGAAACGGUGUCCGCUAAUACCGGGCGCUAAUGACGGUACCUGCAGAAUAAGCACCGGCUAACUACGUG